rnacentral:lncRNA from 1 species
AGCCAAGGUCCAAAGCCACCUCCAAGAGGGGCCAAUCACAGCUUCCGAAUUGCCUGGAACUGCCCAGUAAGGCAGUGUCUGUGGGAUCCACCUCUCAUCCUCUGAAGGUAUAAACUCUUAUCAAAGGAUUCACAAGUUUCUGACUGAGUUAAAAAGGUGGAGCUCUCCAAGUGUGAAAAAAAAACCCAACAAAAAAGUGCAGCCUGUACCUCGUCCAAGGAAGCCAUGUGUUGUGCAGCCUCUGUCUCACAAAAUGAACUCUUCAGAACUGUGGGUAAUGCAACUUUAGGGCAACACAGUUUUUGAAGGAGGAAUGCCCUUUAUUACAGAAAGACCGACACUGCUGAAGGACUAUGAGGAUAGCAGGAAAGAAUUAACACAAAAGCGAGAAGCAACAGCAGGACCAUAUGCUCAUGGCUUUAUGUCAGUCCAGAUGAGUGAGUGAACCUUUGUUAUUAGUUCUUUCUUUCCAUCUGCAUGGGGGUGGGGGGCUUAUCUUCUCAUAGCCAAGCAGAAGAAUCUGGAGUCAUUUAAAUAUUGCCUUUUGUAAGCAUUUGGAGUUUUAGCUCAAACAAGUUAAUAUUUUAAAGCAUGGUAACCAGAAAAUCAGUAGAUAAUAGCUUAAUCAAUGCUUGGAGUGUGAUUUUUAGAAUUAAAAAAAUGUAACUGUGAUUUAUAGUAAGAAUGUAGUCUCAGGCAAAAAUUUGUAAAUGUAACUAGAUUAAGAAUGUAUUCCCAGUUUA